rnacentral:lncRNA from 1 species
AUGGGAGUCUAAAAAUGGAUCAGUAUCUACCCCAAGGCAUCAUAUUCGACGUGGAAUGGCAUUAGAUUCUUUGUCUGGACAUAUUGAAACAUGGCGCCUAAAGCAUCAUGAUGAAAAUGGAUGGACCGGGCCUAAUCUUCAAAAGUUAUAUGUGAGUAAUGUUUACAUAAUUUGUAGACACCUUAAGAUUAGAUUUAUUUCGCAUCAAUAUAUAUACUUAUAUAAGUAAUCUGUCAUCAGGAUCAUAUGAUGUCUUUAAGGGAAGUCUAUUCUCCAGAUGAAUUGUCAGAUAAAGAAAUUAUGGAAGCUGUACUUGGUCGUCAUUCUGUAUACUUGCGAGGAUGGGG